CCUACGGGAGGCAGCAGUGAGGAAUAUUGGUCAAUGGGCUUACGCCUGAACCAGCCAAGUCGCGUGAGGGAAGACUGCCCUAUGGGUUGUAAACCUCUUUUGUCAGGGAGCAACGCCGGCUACGUGUAGCCGGACUGAGAGGACCUGAAGAAAAAGCAGCGGCUAACUCCGGGCCAGCAGCCGCGGUAAUACGGAGGAUGCGAGCGUUAUCCGGAUUGAUUGGGUUGAAAGGGUGCGUAGGCGGAAUGCCAAGUCAGCGGUAAAAUCGCGGGGCUCAACCUCGCUCCGCCGUUGAAACUGGCGUUCUUGAGUGGGCGAGAAGUAUGCGGAAUGCGUGGUGUAGCGGUGAAAUGCAUAGAUAUCACGCAGAACUCCGAUUGCGAAGGCAGCAUACCGGCGCCCAACUGACGCUGAAGCACGAAAGCGUGGGUAUCGAACAGGAUUAGAUACCCGAGUAGUC
rnacentral:rRNA from 1 species